rnacentral:rRNA from 1 species
GACGUAGGGCGCGAGCGUUGUCCGGAUUUAUUGGGCGUAAAGAGCUCGUAGGCGGUUUGUCGCGUCUGCCGUGAAAGUCCGGGGCCCAACUCCGGAUCUGCGGUGGGUACGGGCAGACUAGAGUGAUGUAGGGGAGACUGGAAUUCCUGGUGUAGCGGUGAAAUGCGCAGAUAUCAGGAGGAACACCGAGUGGCGAAGGCAGGUCUCUGGGCAUUAACUGACGCUGAGGAGCGAAAGCAUGGGGAGCGAACAGG